AAUACCCCUUCCAGGCUUCUAUGCCUUCUCCUAUCACCAAUAGAAUUGCUUCUUCUAUGCCUUUCCCUUUUCCCAUCGCGAAUAGAAUUGCAGAAAUCAAUCAAUAAAUAUUCACUGAAUCGGAUUAUCAAACGUUGUUUACUUCAAUCUACGAUUCCAGCGAUAGAAUUACCGACGUUUAAGCUAUGGAUGCCUACGCCACAUCGGGUGUUUUCCGGCGAGUCCCUUGCGCCGUCAGCUCGGGAAUCGGUUCCCGAUCUUCUCAUCACGCGGAGAUUCCCUUCUCUGUGGGGCGCAAGUGGCUGGCUUCUGGGUUUACCGACGAGGGCCACUUGGGGUACUAUUCGACCUCCCGCCGGAGAAUCAGGUGCGAGGUCGAAUCGGAGACUCUCCGGCGCGAUGAUAAGGUCAAGGAGAAAAAGAGGAAGAAAAUGCUGAAGAAGAGGUCGAAAUUGCUCAAGAAUUUGUCCAAGGAUCUGUCUACGUUGACCCAGAUUGGUUUCGGGUUGGAUUGUUCUAACCCUAACCCGUGUGAUUUGCUUGAUCAAGAUCAUGAAAAGAAGAUUACGGAAGCUGCAGAAACAUUGCUGGCCCAACUCCAAAAACUAAGGUUAGAGGAGAAGGGGAAGGAAGAAAAGUGUAAAGAUUCGUCAAGCUCUUCAUCCGAAUCAAGCGAUAGCGAGUGCGAGGGUCCUGCAAAUAUGACCAAAACGAAGCCCAAGCCCGUCGCAGAAAAGGCUCCAUUGAUGCUUUCUAGCAUGGUGAAAACACAGGGAGAAGAAGUGAUCGAUCUUGAGCCAGUGAUUGUUGUUGUUCCAGAGUCGCAGCCAGCUAUUCCAGAUCCCAUCAUCUCCCUGGGGCAAUCUGCAGAAGUUGGGUGCAUAACUACUGGUAGUAUAGAGACGGGGAAGAAAAUUGAGGUGUGUAUGGGAGGGAAGUGCAAGAAAUUAGGGGCUGAAGCUAUAUUGGAGGAACUUGAGAGGGUGGUUGAGAUGGAAGGCGGCGGGGUUAGCGUUUGUGGGUGCAAGUGCCUGGGGAAGUGCAAAGUGGGUCCAAAUCUGAGGCUGUCGAGCAGCGGCGCCGCCGGGGGAUUGUCUGAUAACGGCGUCAACUUGCCGGCGACUAGGUCUCUGCGUCUCGGCGUUGGUGUAGAGGAUGCGAGUUUAAUCUUGCGCCAGGAAUUAGGCCUUGCUGCAUCUUCAUUAGAUUAGAUUAGGAUAUAUGGCAAAUAUUGUGCUCCAGAACAUACUUUAGUGGUCAAGAAAUAUUAAGUGUGAGUGUAGUUAUUUAGUAAAUAUAUUCGGGUUUGAAUU